rfam:Ornithorhynchus anatinus chromosome X1, whole genome shotgun sequence.
UCCCUCUCAGUGUCGCUCCUGGUGCGUUUUCAGUACUCUACCAGUCUCGGCUAUGGGAGGGAGAGUCAAGCACAGGUCUACCCAUUCCAUUUCUAGGUUGGCCAGUGCCUAGCAUGUGGAAGACAAUCUGCUACAUGU